CAUGAAUAUUAAUGACCAGCCCCACACCCUCAUUCAUGCUAAUGAGGUUCUGCAGCCUCAACUCCCUCAUGAAUAUUAAUCACCUGGAGGGAGCCAGACCCACCCGUCAUUAGCAUUAAUGAGGUGGAGCAGGCUCAUUACUUUCAACCACAUUAAUUAAUAUUAAUGAGGGCAGCGAAAGGCCACGCCCCUCAUACCUACAGGCAGUUUAUAAACCCUUAAUUAAUAUUAAUGACGGCAGCACACGGUAUCGGUUGGUACAUCCCUAAUUAAUAUUAAUGAGUGCAGCCCGCAGCCCUACCCCUCGCAGCAACUGCCUCUAUUAGUUUAUACACCCCUAAUUAAUAUUAAUGAGGGCAGCACACGGUAUCGGUUGGUACACCCCUAAUUAAUAUUAAUGAGACAGUCACAAGGUCCCGCCCCUUGGGCUCCUGACAAUUUACGCUCCCCCUAAUUAAUAUUAAUGAGGGCGGUGCGCGGGGUCCCUGGGCUCUAUGGUCAGACAGCCACGCCCCCUCAUUAAUAUUAAUGAGCCCCCAUCCUGCACGGGGCCUCCCGAACACCGAGAACCGAACACCGGUACCGGGAACCCCAUGCCGGUACCGGAGCCUCUCCCAUCCCGGUACCGGGAGCCCCAUCCCGGUUCCCGGUUCCCGGUUCUCUCCCAUCCCGGUUCCCGGUUCUCUCCCACUCUCUCCCAUCCCGGUUCCCGGUUCCCGGUUCUCUCCCGUGCCGGUUCCCGGUCCCCCGCCCCUCGGGCUCACCCUGGGCCCGGUGCCGGUGCCGGAGCCCCCCCGGCAGAGCGCCCCGGCCCGGCCCAGCGCCGCCCCCGCCGCCAGCAGCG
rnacentral:lncRNA from 1 species